GCGCUGUCAAUUGCUAAACCCGUCGCAACUCUAAUUAACGAAUCCUUGGUGUCUGGAUAAAUACCCAAAUUUUGGAAGACUGCAAGAGUAGUGCCUAUCCAUAAAAUCGCCCAAUAUUAUUGCUCCCAGUAUUGUUAAUAAUCUUAGAAAAAUGUGUCUAUACUACAACUGCCCUCUUAAAAGUUUGCAAUGACAACCAAACUGGCAUGGAACACGGAGACCUAAC